GGCCGUGGCGGUUAACUGGGGGCCGCGGUGGCGGAGUUGAGGGUCUGGGGGAGCUGCUCUGGUGCCUACGGGUUUGUCCUAUGGUGCUCCUCUGUGACAGAGCUGAGGGGUUUAUGACUAGCCUCCCUGUGAGCUGAAGAGGCAGGAAGCUAUGUAUUCUCCACCAAGGCUGGCUGCACAUUUCCUCUGAAGUAAACUUUGCAGAAGUCACUGGUGCCUUUGUUACGUCCACCUGGGUUUCUGUACCUUUCUAUUUAUGAGUCCCCUUUGAAGCGUGCCUGAAAGAUCCAGUUGCUGAGAAAGCCACUGCCCGCUCCCUGAGCAGUGCCGCACAGCAUGAGCACUCCGCACCAGAGACUCGGCACUGGCUUGCUGUUUACUGAUCAACUUUAAAGCCCAGAGCACUCGAAGAAAUAGUUAUCUUAGGGGCUCCUCUGACUCUGUACCCACUUGCUGCCUCACUAUCAGGUGGAGAUGAAUGUCUUUCCAGGAACCAAGUCUCAAUAUAUGAAAGUCAACCCGGAUAAAGAAAAUGGUUUUAAAAUUUGAAAUACAAAUUUAAAAUAAAAAACCCAAGUUAAACAAAAUUGUUUGAA